rnacentral:ncRNA from 1 species
CUAUGAUCUGUGAUACGAUCAUGGCAAAGGAG